rnacentral:rRNA from 1 species
GAGUUUGAUCCUGGCUCAGAUUGAACGCUGGCGGCAUGCCUAACACAUGCAAGUCGAACGGCAGCGCGGGUAGCAAUACCUGGCGGCGAGUGGCGGACGGGUGAGGAAUGCAUCGGAAUCUGCCCGGUUGUGGGGGGAUAACUCACCGAAAGGUGGGCUAAUACCGCAUAAGACCGAGAGGUGAAAGCGGGGGACCGAAAGGCCUCGCGCGAUCGGAUGAGCCGAUGCCGGAUUAGCUAGUUGGUAGGGUAAAGGCCUACCAAGGCGACGAUCCGUAGCUGGUCUGAGAGGAUGAUCAGCCACACUGGGACUGAGACACGGCCCAGACUCCUACGGGAGGCAGCAGUGGGGAAUAUUGGACAAAUGGGCGCAAGCCUGAUCCAGCAAUGCCGCGUGUGUGAAGAAGGCCUUC